UACGUAGGGCGCAAGCGUUAUCCGGAAUUAUUGGGCGUAAAGAGCUCGUAGGCGGUUUGUCGCGUCUGCCGUGAAAGUCCGGGGCUCAACUCCGGAUCUGCGGUGGGUACGGGCAGACUAGAGUACUGCAGGGGGAGACUGGAAUUCCUGGUGUAGCGGUGGAAUGCGCAGAUAUCAGGAGGAACACCGGUGGCGAAGGCGGGUCUCUGGGCAGUAACUGACGCUGGAGGAGCGAAAGCCGUGGGGAGCGAACAGG
rnacentral:rRNA from 1 species